rnacentral:lncRNA from 1 species
CCACAACCUACCUGCCAGUUUGGUCACAGGUAUCUCCCAAGAUACACAAUCACCUGGAGUGGAAGCUUCAGGACAACAGGGCUGGGAACCUGCGUGUUUCAGAUAAGAUACCUCUUGGAUACCUCUUGAUUCACUCUUCUUCCUGCCACUGUGUUGCAUGAAUACCCUUUAUGGAGGUUACCAAAUCCAGCAAAGUCAUCUUCCUACUAGAAAAAGACAGCAUCUCCUCAUCCUGCAUUCACUACAUGGUGGAACAAUGGGUGCUCAUGAGAGAUCGGGGGAAGAAAAGCAAAGAACCUGGUGUUGCCUCUUUGGGUUUUUCUGAGUUGGGAGUUUGGAGGCUGAAACCAAGAGGUCAGCUGGGACUGUGGUCUCAUCUGAGGCUUGACUGGGGGAGGAUUCACUGCCAAGCUCUCAUGGUGUUGGCAGCAUGCAGCUCCCUGAUGGCUGUCUGAGGGAUGGCCCCCAUUUCUGCUGGCUGUCAGCUCCUCAACCUGCAGCCCUCUCCAAAUGAGAGCUCAAACAACAAGGCAGCUUGCUUCUUCAAAUCCACCAAGGGAUAGUCUUCUUAAGACACUGCAGACUCACUGUGUAAAAAUUGUAAAAACACAAGGUAAUAUAAUCAUGUGCAUUCCAUCACCUUUGCCAUAUUCUGUUAGUUAAAGGCAGGUCACAGCUUCCACCCACCCUCAGGCGGUAGUGAAUUCUACCAGGCCACGCACAUCAGAAGAUGGGAUCACAGGGGCUACCUCAGAGGCUGCUGGCACUUCUGUUGACCUUCCACACUUUGACUUUAAAUUCUCCCACAACUCCCAAAUUUAAACACCAGCUUAGGCCAAACUCCAAAAUCCCAGAUUCACAUAUACAAUGCCUAGUGGGU